UACGUAGGGGGCAAGCGUUGUCCGGAUUUAUUGGGCGUAAAGAGCGUGUAGGCGGCUUUACAGGUCCGUUGUGAAAACUCGAGGCUCAACCUCGAGACGCCGGUGGAAACCGUAAAGCUAGAGUCCGGAAGAGGAGAGUGGAAUUCCUGGUGUAGCGGUGAAAUGCGCAGAUAUCAGGAGGAACACCAAUUGCGAAGGCAGCACUCUGGGACGUGACUGACGCUGAGACGCGAAAGCGUGGGGAGCGAACAGG
rnacentral:rRNA from 1 species